rnacentral:rRNA from 1 species
UACGGGGGGGGGCAAGCGUUGUUCGGAAUUACUGGGCGUAAAGGGCUCGUAGGUGGCCAACUAAGUCGGACGUGAAAUCCCUCGGCUUAACCGGGGAACUGCGUCCGAUACUGGUUGGCUUGAGUUUGGGAGAGGGAUGCGGAAUUCCAGGUGUAGCGGUGAAAUGCGUAGAUAUCAGGAGGAACACCGGUGGCGAAGGCGGGUCUCUGGGCAGUAACUGACGCUGAGGAGCGAAAGCGUGGGGAGCGAACAGG